rnacentral:rRNA from 1 species
AUUGAACGCUGGCGGCAGGCUUAACACAUGCAAGUCGAGCGGAGUGAUGGUGCUUGCACUAUCACUUAGCGGCGGACGGGUGAGUAAUGCUUAGGAAUCUGCCUAUUAGUGGGGGACAACAUCUCGAAAGGGAUGCUAAUACCGCAUACGUCCUACGGGAGAAAGCAGGGGAUCACUUGUGACCUUGCGCUAAUAGAUGAGCCUAAGUCGGAUUAGCUAGUUGGUGGGGUAAAGGCCUACCAAGGCGACGAUCUGUAGCGGGUCUGAGAGGAGGAUCCGCAACACGGGGACGAGGACAGGGCCCGGACUCCAACGGGGGGCGGAGGGGGGGAAAAUUGGACAAUGGGGGAACCCUGAUCCAGCCAUGCCGCGUGUGUGAAGAAGGCCUUAUGGUUGUAAAGCACUUUAAGCGAGGAGGAGGCUCUUUUGGUUAAUACCCAAGAUGAGUGGACGUUACUCGCAGAAUAAGCACCGGCUAACUCUGUGCCAGCCGCCGCGGUAA